UCAUUUCCCUUGAAUUAACCCGACAUGGGAUCCAAAUACCUAAUUCGGAUCAUUGUGGUUCAUUCCAUAUAUACAGCAAAUAGGGUUUCAUCUUCUUCAACAUACUUCAUUCGCGACCUAGGGUUUCUGCAACUUCAUUCUUUCUGCCUCUCCUUCAUCAUUGCAUGUCUCAGGAUCUCAAAUCGUCAUCAGCAAGUUAUAUUAUUUCUGAUAUUCAAAUGUCGUCUACACCAAGGUAUGAUUCUGUUAUUUCUCUAUUGUUCAGGUUUUGAUGCUCAUAUACUUUAGGCGAUGAAUCUGAAUUUAAUUGAAGCAUAAGAUGGUUCAGAUCUAAAAAAAACGGGGUGGCCGGAAAAGACGAUGAACUUAUGUCUGUUUGCACUAUUGUUGAUCUGUUUAUAAAAUUAGGGUUUUAGUUUUAUUGUUUUCAGGGAUUAUUGGGUUUCAUAUUUAAUUGUUAUUGAUCCUUUAUGAGUCUCAGUUCAAUUCCCUUGAAUAUUUUGUUUAUCUGUUGAUGAAAUUAGGGUUUUAGUUGUUUUGUUUUUUGGGACUAUCAGUUUUUAUGUUUAAUUGCGAUUGAUUCUGUAUGAGUCUUACUUCACUUCAUAGUGUGUUUGAAUUCUUUUCAAUUAUUUAAAAUAUUUUGAAUUAAAAUAAUGUUCUUUGAUUUAUAUGGCUAGGGUUCGUAUGGUCUAAGAACGAGGAUGGUCUAACAAUGAGUAACGGGUAGGGUUCGGUGGACGGCGAUGAUCUAGCAACGAUAGAUGAGUAGUAUCAGAUCUAUCAAAGACAAGAAAGUGGUGACGAUACAUAUGUUGGUUAGAAUCGCUCAUGGUCAGGUUUAUCAGUAAUCAUUUGUUUCUUUUUGUAUCUUGCCGAUGUUCAUCUAAUCAUCGCUAGCUUCUACGUCUUUAAAGAACGGUUAAAGUUAAAAAGGAAGUUGAGCGAUGAAUCUCAAAGUUUUUAGCCGGAGGCCAAGAUAGGAGCAGCAUGACUGAUUUGGGAAAUAAUGAAAGGACGAUAAACAUGACAGAAGAAAAAAGGCUCAAAACCUAAACCUGGUUGAAAAACUUUUUAAAGAUAGAAAAGGGUGAACACGUCCAUAUGGUGAGUCUUCUAAGACUGUUGAAAUCUAGCAUAAAUCUUAUUAUUUUGGUUUGAUAUCUACACUUGCUUAUUGUAGUAGCAACCAAUGUAGUGCGUUUAGUGUUUUGAAUAUGACUUUAUUCCAAUGUUUCUUAUGGUUUAAUUAUUUCAUUCAUAUUUUAAGAGAGACUAUUGUUGAGUAUAGAGACUGUUUUAUGUGCGCCUUCACAACGUGUUCCUCCGAAGCAAUGGUCUAAGAAAGAUGGACGUGAAGGGACCAUUGGCAAAGGUAUAUAAGUUGGGUUAUCUAUAUGUGCUAAUUUAUUCUAAUAACCAGGUAUAUAAUGUGUGAAUGUGAAGUUGAAUCUCUUCCUUUAGUUGGCCUAAAUGCAAUGAAUGUCAUAUUGGUUGCAGCUAAGUGUGCUCCCACGAAAUAAAGUAGUCUUGGAGAUGUUGUCGGCGCGUUACCGAAGGCUUUGGCUCAGCGUUGUUUCAUAUGUGCUUUAGGUCUGCACAACUGCACAAGAUGUAGCUUAUGGUUGUUAAUAUUACAAUAAUAUAAAUAUCAUUGAUUGAGGUAAGGCCAAAAUGUCCUGCUUUUGUUUAUAGGUGAAAUAACAUUUGUUUUAUGUGUCCUCAUUAUUCAAUUGGUAUUGCUUUAAGUCUUUAACAUACUAAUAGUUAUUUCUUUUGUGUAUCAUGCGAAGUCUUGAUAUGUAUACAUGUAUUCGUUGUUGUCAUCUCUAUGAUUUCCAAACUGCCGACACCACCAAAAUCAACUUUCACUUUCUUAGCAAUUAAGGUAAUCAUCUAUUUAUUCUUAUUAAAGGUCCAACAUGAAUGUGUUAGUUGCGGUUUGCGUAACGUCGGACCCAACAUACCUACUAAUAUAACACUAUAAUGAAUUUCUAUGUACUUAUAUGAUUGGCCGUUUUCUUAAUUAGGGAAUAAAUAGCAUGUCUCUUGACUUGGCUUCUUUUAAAGUUGGUGAGGAGUUAACAUUUGGAUGUUGAGACCAGCGGCCAUGGAGCACUCAAUAAGAAUCACUAGCUUGAUGAUGGUAAGAAGAAGCAGCGAUUUAGGGUGGAAUCUAAUUAACAAAUAUGGCUAUUGAGGGAAAAAAGCUGAGCGACAAUGGUGAGAAGAAGGUAAUGAUCUUUCCCCUCUUCGUAAUUUUUCUCUCAACUGUUUUGCUGGUAAAAAAGUUAGUUUUGCCUAUCGAUUACUCUUUUACGAUGUUAAGCUUAAACCAAAAAUAGGUAUUAUACUUCAAAUAUAGUCCUCUUCGUAAUUUUUCUUUCAACCGUUUUGCUUUGCUGGUAAAAAAGUUAGUUUUGCCUAUCGAUUACUCUUUUACGAUGUUAAGCCUUAAACCAAAAAAUAGGUGUUAUACUUCAAAUAUAGUCAAAAUAAAUUUCAAGAAAAUAGCCUUAUGAUUCUGUUUUAAUACAUGAUUUACUUAAUUAUAAAAAACAUAAAUUUAAAGAAGGGAAUUGGAAAUUUUACUUCAUGAAAAUCAUAAAGGUGUACUACUCUUUUCAGAAUGACAAAAAGAAAAAGGACAGGAUCUAAAUAUAUGUUUUUCUUGAUUGUUCUUUACCGUUAUAUAUCGAUUUUCUUAUAGUUUGAAUUUGAUUCAAAAACAAUGGGUUGCCAAACCAUGAGUUGAACAGAAGGUUUCAAAAUAGAAUUUAGAGGAUUUAAGCAUAAAAAAAUAUGGUAUUGUCAGAUGGUUAGACUGAGAAAUCAUGGUGGCUGGUGAGAAUGUGAUAACUUUUUAAAGUGCCUAACAAGUGUUUGUGUGAAUGUUUAAAUGGAAUUAGUUUGCAACUUGAGAUUGAUGUAUUUUGUUUGUUUUUGUAGACAAGAUGGAUGUCGAAAGGAUAUCUACUAGGAGAUGGGUACUGACUUGGCCUUAAACCACAAUUGAAACUGUUGAUGAUAACCUCUUAAAACUUUUGGUCAACAAGUAUGCUUUCUCAAUUUUAUGUAAAGUUAAAGAAAAAAUGGGGCGUAUCUGUAGGUCUUUCUACUUGGAUGUUUCUUUAUCCAAGGGAAAACGUUUUGAUAACCUAAAAGCUUGGCAUGUUUUUGCUAACAUGCCUGACAAAAUCAUGGAAGUUUCUCCAAUAAUACAAGUGAUUGUUGUUGAACCGCUUGCUUUUGUUGCUCCUGAUAAAGAUGAAGAGUGUAUUCUUGGGGAUAUAUGGAAGGGAAAUGUCACCGGCAGUGAGAUAUCAUACAAUUUAUUUCCAAAGUUAGGUCAUCUGAGAGUAUUGCUGUUAAAUGCUGGAAAAAUGGUGAUCUCUUCUUAGUGGAGGAAGUGGUUGAUCCAAAUAAUACGUCUUGAAAAUUUCUAGAGCACUUGAUUGGUAGAGAAAGCGCAUUACUUCGUAGAGGUUUUUGGUUGAUAUGGAGAAUAACAGGGAUAAUGUAAAGUAACCCAAAAGAGCGUAAAAUGUCCAUGAAGCAAAAGAUGCAAGCGAACCAUUUUUGAAAGUCCAUGGACGUCUAUUGAUCUUUACGGGUCAAUUAAUUUAGGAUUUUAAAUAGGAUAACGAAUUAAAUGGAAAAUAGAAAAAAAAAUUAAUAUUGAA